rnacentral:rRNA from 1 species
ACGUAGGUGGCAAGCGUUGUCCGGAAUUAUUGGGCGUAAAGCGCGCGCAGGCGGCUUCUUAAGUCCAUCUUAAAAGUGCGGGGCUUAACCCCGUGAUGGGAUGGAAACUGGGAGGCUGGAGUAUCGGAGAGGAAAGUGGAAUUCCUAGUGUAGCGGUGAAAUGCGUAGAGAUUAGGAAGAACACCGGUAGCGAAGGCGACUUUCUGGACGACAACUGACGCUGAGGCGCGAAAGCGUGGGGAGCAAACAG